rnacentral:rRNA from 1 species
AGUGAACGCUGGCGGUAGGCCUAACACAUGCAAGUCGAACGGCAGCACAGUAAGAGCUUGCUCUUACGGGUGGCGAGUGGCGGACGGGUGAGGAAUACAUCGGAAUCUACUUUUUCGUGGGGGAUAACGUAGGGAAACUUACGCUAAUACCGCAUACGACCUACGGGUGAAAGCAGGGGAUCUUCGGACCUUGCGCGAUUGAAUGAGCCGAUGUCGGAUUAGCUAGUUGGCGGGGUAAAGGCCCACCAAGGCGACGAUCCGUAGCUGGUCUGAGAGGAUGAUCAGCCACACUGGAACUGAGACACGGUCCAGACUCCUACGGGAGGCAGCAGUGGGGAAUAUUGGACAAUGGGCGCAAGCCUGAUCCAGCCAUACCGCGUGGGUGAAGAAGGCCUUCGGGUCGUAAAGCCCUUUUGUUGGGAAAGAAAAGCAGCAGGUUAAUACCCCGCUGUUCUGACGGUACCCAAAGAAGAAGCACCGGCUAACUUCGU